rnacentral:rRNA from 1 species
UACGUAGGGGGCAAGCGUUAUCCGGAUUUACUGGGUGUAAAGGGAGCGUAGACGGCAGAGCAAGUCCGGAGUGAAAGCCCGGGGCCCAACCCCGGGACUGCUCUGGAAACUGUUAAGCUGGAGUGCGGGAGGGGCAGGCGGAAUUCCUGGUGUAGCGGUGAAAUGCGUAGAUAUCAGGAGGAACACCGGCGGCGAAGGCGGCCUGCUGGACCGUGACUGACGUUGAGGCUCGAAAGCGUGGGGAGUAAACAGG